UCAGUGUAUACCUCUUACUUAUAGAAACUAGUAACUGUCCUUUAUAGACAGGUGUCCGUUCUAUAGAGGUGGCCGCUAACGGCGGGUUCGACUCUGUACACGUUUGUCGUUAUUCUGCUCUUGCAUCGUGCUUGUAUUUUAUUGCCGUUUCUCCCAGUUCGCCAAAGUUCAACCCCCGAUGGCCUAGAUGCCGUGACGUAGGCGCGAUGACGUCACUAUUAUGACGUAGACGCGAUGACGUAAUGUGCCAUGACGCGGACGCGAUGACGUGUGCUCCGCGUUCUUUGAUGUAGUUCUAUUGGUCGACGCCACGCCCCACUCUCUUUGUUUCUCUUUGUCGGGCAUUGCUUAUUAUAAAUGCCCUCGUUUUUUGUGUUUUGAGUUGCGUGUUGCUAUGUGCGGUGAGAGAGAGAGAUAAAGAUGGAGAGGCAGGCGGGAAGAUGAUGAUGAUGAUGAUGAUGCUGUUAUGUAUAAAGUCGAUGUAAAAAAUUUCACCGGCACAUGUAUUAUGUCGCGUUUUUUCCACGCAUCUCGUUUCUGCGUUUUACUAACUUCUCACUUUGUGAAAAAAAAUAUGUCAGUAUUUUA